rnacentral:rRNA from 1 species
UAGCCGUAAACGAUACUCGCUAGGUGUCGGCCACGGUGCGACCGUUGUCGGUGCCGUAGGGAAGCCGUGAAGCGAGCCACCUGGGAAGUACGGCCGCAAGGCUGAAACUUAAAGGAAUUGGCGGGGGAGCACCACAACGGGUGGAGCUUGCGGUUUAAUUGGAUUCAACGCCGGAAAUCUUACCGGGACCGACAGCAACAUGAAGGCCAGGCUGAAGACUUUGCCGGAUUAGCUGAGAGGAGGUGCAUGGCGUCAGUGACU